rnacentral:rRNA from 1 species
GACGAACGCUGGCGGCGUGCUUAACACAUGCAAGUCGAGCGGAAAGGCCCUGCUUUUGUGGGGUGCUCGAGUGGCGAACGGGUGAGUAACACGUGAGUAACCUGCCCUUGACUUUGGGAUAACUUCAGGAAACUGGGGCUAAUACCGGAUAGGAGCUCCUGCUGCAUGGUGGGGGUUGGAAAGUUUCGGCGGUUGGGGAUGGACUCGCGGCUUAUCAGCUUGUUGGUGGGGUAGUGGCUUACCAAGGCUUUGACGGGUAGCCGGCCUGAGAGGGUGACCGGCCACAUUGGGACUGAGAUACGGCCCAGACUCCUACGGGAGGCAGCAGUGGGGAAUAUUGCACAAUGGGCGGAAGCCUGAUGCAGCAACGCCGCGUGCGGGAUGACGGCCUUCGGGUUGUAAACCGCUUUCGCCUGUGACGAAGCGUGAGUGACGGUAAUGGGUAAAGAAGCACCGGCUAACUACGUG